AACGAACGCUGGCGGCAGGCUUAACACAUGCAAGUCGAGCGCCCCGCAAGGGGAGCGGCAGACGGGUGAGUAACGCGUGGGAACGUACCUUUUGGUUCGGAACAACUCCGGGAAACUGGAGCUAAUACCGGAUAAGCCCUAACGGGGAAAGAUUUAUCGCCGAAAGAUCGGCCCGCGUCUGAUUAGCUAGUUGGUGAGGUAACGGCUCACCAAGGCGACGAUCAGUAGCUGGUCUGAGAGGAUGAUCAGCCACACUGGGACUGAGACACGGCCCAGACUCCUACGGGAGGCAGCAGUGGGGAAUAUUGGACAAUGGGCGCAAGCCUGAUCCAGCCAUGCCGCGUGAGUGAUGAAGGCCUUAGGGUUGUAAAGCUCUUUUGUCCGGGAAAAUAAUGACUGUACCGGAAGAAUAAGCCCCGGCUAACUUCGUG
rnacentral:rRNA from 1 species